UCUCUGAGAAUUGGGGUAGGCCACAAAUCCUGGUGGGCGAGCCCCCACAUGUAAGACCCCUGAAGCUUGGCCUCUGCUCAAGUCCCAGGAUGAGCUGGCCAGCACCCCAAAGACUCAAGAGAAA
rnacentral:pre_miRNA from 7 species